GCCUACGGGGCGCAGCAGUGAGGAAUAUUGGUCAAUGGGCGAGAGCCUGAACCAGCCAAGUCGCGUGAAGGAUGACGGCCCUACGGGUUGUAAACUUCUUCUGUCAGGGAGCAAUUGAGUCCACGUGUGGGCUUAGCGAGAGUACCUGAAGAAAAAGCAUCGGCUAACUCCGUGCCAGCAGCCGCGGUAAUACGGAGGAUGCGAGCGUUAUCCGGAUUUAUUGGGUUUAAAGGGUGCGUAGGCGGUUUUUUAAGUUAGUGGUUAAACAUCGGGGCUUCACCUUGAUUUGCCAUUAAUACUUUAAG
rnacentral:rRNA from 1 species